rnacentral:rRNA from 1 species
UACGUAGGGGGCAAGCGUUGUCCGGAAUCAUUGGGCGUAAAGAGCUCGUAGGCGGCUCAGUAAGUCGGGUGUGAAACCCUCAGGCUCAACCUGGGGACGCCACCCGAUACUGCUGUGGCUAGAGUCCUAGAGGGGUUUGUGGAAUUCCCGGUGUAGCGGUGAAAUGCGUAGAGAUCGGGAGGAACCACAGCGGCGAAGGCGGCGAACUGGAGUAGGC